CUAGCGACUUCAGAGUUUGAUCCUGGCUCAGGACGAACGCUGGCGGCGUGCCUAACACAUGCAAGUCGAACGGGGCUUAAUGGAAUGCGGCUUCGGCCAAAGGAAGUUAAGCUUAGUGGCGAACGGGUGAGUAACGCGUGAAGAACCUGCCUUUCAGUGGGGGACAACAGUUGGAAACGACUGCUAAUACCGCAUAAUGUAGCGAUACCGCAUGGUAAUGCUACCAAAGCUUUAUGUGCUGAAAGAUGGCUUCGCGUCUGAUUAGCUAGAUGGCGGGGUAACGGCCCACCAUGGCGACGAUCAGUAGCCGGUCUGAGAGGAUGAACGGCCACAUUGGGACUGAGAUACGGCCCAG
rnacentral:rRNA from 1 species